AUACGUAGGGUGCGAGCGUUGUCCGGAAUUACUGGGCGUAAAGAGCUCGUAGGUGGUUUUGUCGCGUUGUUCGUGAAAUCUCACGGCUUAACUGUGAGCGUGCGGGCGAUACGGGCAGACUUGAGUACUGCAGGGGAGACUGGAAUUCCUGGUGUAGCGGUGGAAUGCGCAGAUAUCAGGAGGAACACCGGUGGCGAAGGCGGGUCUCUGGGCAGUAACUGACGCUGAGGAGCGAAAGCGUGGGGAGC
rnacentral:rRNA from 1 species